rnacentral:rRNA from 1 species
GUCCUACGGGGCGCAGCAGUGGGGAAUAUUGCACAAUGGGGGAAACCCUGAUGCAGCGACGCCGCGUGAGUGAAGAAGUAUUUCGGUAUGUAAACUUCUAUCAGCAGGGAAGAAAAUGACGGUACCUGAGUAAGAAGCCCCGGCUAACUACGUGCCAGCAGCCGCGGUAAUACGUAGGGGGCAAGCGUUAUCCGGAUUUACUGGGUGUAAAGGGAGCGUAGACGGCCAGACAAGUCUGAAGUGAAAAUCCAGCGCUUAACGUUGGAAGUGCUUUG